CUUCACCCUGUCUGCCUUAGUUUCUUCAUCUGUAAAAUGAGCCUGGAGAAGGGAAUGGCAAACACUCGAGUAUCUCCCAAGAAAAUCCCAAAUGGGGUCAUUGAGAGUUGGAUAUGACUUAACAGCAAGAACAAGAUUAUAGGACCCUCAAGGAACAUCCGUUCUUUUUUAAAAAUUUAUUUUUAAAAGGUUAAACUGUUUACAUUCCUACAUGGGAAGAUGAUAUAUCUAAUUCAUAAAAAUUUUCUCAGUAUUAGGGCAGAUGAUAGGAAUAAAUUUAGACAGAGGGCACAGGUGGGAAUUGAUGAUGAAGGGAUGAUAUCUGUAAAGAAUUAAUUUUUUGUCUUUUUUUUUUUUCCAGGGCAGUUGGGGUGGGGUGACACACCCAAGGUUGAGCAGCUAGUGAGUGUCUUGUGUCUGAGGCCAGAUUUGGGCUUGGGUACUCCUGAGUCCAGGGUGGGAGAUUUGUCACUGUGUCACCUAGCUACCCCAUGAUGACAUCUUUAAAAUAAAAUUUCCAUCUUUGGCUGCAAAGCCACCCGCUGUGGUCAGAGUGAGGUGAGUGGCGGAUAUCACGCGGUGACUCUAUUACUUUGGAGGGACCGUGUCAUCGACUUCUCCUGGGAGGAUCAGCAAGUGGGUCCUUUCAAAGACGGGUCACCAUUGUCAUAUCUCCUCUACCAUUUGUCCCAGAGAACCUGGGUGCCGAGGCCCCCUGCGGGGAGACGAUGCUUCAGAGCCCCAUUGCUGAUACCACUGCUUUGCCUGGAACCCAUCCUGACAAUUUCAUAUGCAACACAUGCUUCC